GGCAGGAUGUUCCACGAAGGUUAAAACCAAACUCUGCAGGAAAGUAGAUCUCCAGAAGGAGGGUUGGUGACCACUGCUCUAAAAUCUUUCUCUGGUAUUCCUGGCUGGCUUGCCAAAAACAACAGCUGCUGAGUGGCUGCAGGAUGUCCACAACCCUGUAACGUUUGAGCAACCCACCGUCUACCUCUCCACUCUCCCUCAUCAUUACCCAGGCCUGAUGUUUACCUUGGCUGAUGCUCUGACUUGGCUCUACCUCAGCUUUCAAAAAAGUCGUAACUCUCCUGGCGUGCGGAGGAGAGGCGCAGGGUUAAGAAGAGCAACACGGGGAGAGGAGAGGAGGAAAGCAGAGGAGCAGCGGGAAAGACACAUUGAUGAAGGGCAAGAAGAAGGAGGGAUGAAGAAGGAGGACAAGAAGAGAAGGACAAAGGGAGGAACAGUUUGUUAGUGACCGGGUCAUUAGGCGGAAGCAGUGUACACUAAAACAGAAAUCUGAGGGAAAGCAGAAGAUGCUUAACACUAAAGCCUAGUCAGGACACACAGAGAGGGAGAGAGAGAGAGAGACAUCCGUCAACACAUAUACAACCAGUCCACUCCCAAUGCCCUUCAGUCAGGGCGGUCAGAAAGGGGCAGAGCAGUCUUUUCAAACAGCAUCAAAACCCAUACAGUAGAAAAAUAUACAUAUAUUUCCUUGUUAUUUAUUUAUUUAUUCAUUUUCAUUUUUUCUCCAAUUUAAAAAAUGUUGUCGUCUCCAA